GAACAAAAUCAUUGGUCUUGUCCAGGAGGGCGCUGGCGGCAAACACCGCUCGGAGGCAAGAGGGGCUACCUCUCGCAACAGGGUCAAGCAUGCAGGAGAAAUAGCCAAUAGGGCGUUGUCUUGACCCAUGUUUCUGAGUGAGAACUCCGGAAGCAUGUCCUGACUUUUCAGAGACAAACAGAUUGAAAGGAAGUUGGUAGUUGGGGAGGCCCAAGGCAGGUGCUGAGGCAAUAGCUCUUUUCAGGUUGUGGAAACAGGUGAUAGUUUCUUCAGUAAGGUGGAAGGGCUCACUCCUGAGGGUAUCAUAGAGUGGUUGCAUAAGUUUUGAUGCUUCUGGGAUCCAGGACCUGCAGUAUGUUAUAAGACCCAAAAAAGCAUGGAGAGUCUGAUGUGUUGCAGGUAGAGGGAGUUGCAGAAUGGCUUGCACACGUUGAGAAGUCAGAUGUUUGGUGCCAUGGGAAAGGCAGUGUCCCAAGAAGACCACGGAUGGCCGGCACCAUUGUAGUUUUGAUUUUGAAGCUUUGCAACCUGCUGCAGCGAGGAAACACAGGAGGUCUUCUGAGUCACGCUCUGCAGUGAGCAAAUCAGGAGCACAGAGAAGUAGAUCAUCAACAUAUUGAAGUAGAACAACAUCCAGAUGAGAUUUCUGCCAGGGAUCCAAAACAAGAGACAGGGCAUGAGCAAACUGUGUGGGAGAGUUCUGAGCACCCUGUGGCAUAACAGUCCAGGUAUAUUGUUGCCCUUCAUGUGUGAAAGCAAAAAGAAAACGGCAGGAGGGGUCAAGGGGAACACUGAAAAAGGCAUUAGCUAAAUCCACCACAGUGAAUAUAGUAGAAGUUGGUGGGACUUGGGACAAGAGGGUAUGCGGAUUUGGAACAAUAGCAGUGUCCUUUAUAGUGACUUCAUUGACAGCACGAAGGUCCUGCACCAUGCGGUACUGGUCAGGCUGACCUUUAACAGUUCGCUUUUUGACAGGAAAAAG